rnacentral:tRNA from 2 species
GGCGGCGUGGCCAAGUGGUAAGGCGAAGGUCUGCAAAACCUUUAUUCACCGGUUCGAUUCCGGUCGCCGCCU